rnacentral:rRNA from 1 species
GAUGAACGCUGGCGGCGUGCCUAAUACAUGCCAGUCGAGCGAACAGAUAAGGAGCUUGCUCCUUUGACGUUAGCGGCGGACGGGUGAGUAACACGUGGGUAACCUACCUAUAAGACUGGAAUAACUCCGGGAAACCGGGGCUAAUGCCGGAUAACAUUUAGAACCGCAUGGUUCUAAAGUGAAAGAUGGUUUUGCUAUCACUUAUAGAUGGACCCGCGCCGUAUUAGCUAGUUGGCAAGGUAACGGCUUACCAAGGCAUCGAUACGUAGCCGACCUGAGAGGGUGAUCGGCCACACUGGAACUGAGACACGGUCCAGACUCCUACGGGAGGCAGCAGUAGGGAAUCUUCCGCAAUGGGCGAAAGCCUGACGGAGCAACGCCGCGUGAGUGAUGAAGGUCUUCGGAUCGUAAAACUCUGUUAUUAGGGAAGAACAAAUGUGUAAGUAACUGUGCACGUCUUGACGGUACCUAAUCAGAAAGCCACGGCUAACUACGUG